GUCGGAGUGGCGGAAUUGGCAGACGCGCUAGACUAAGGAUCUAGUGCCCGUUACGGGUGUGGGGGUUCAAGUCCCCCCUCCGACA
rnacentral:tRNA from 2 species